UGGCGGCCGUAGCGCGGUGGUCCCACCUGACCCCAUGCCGAACUCAGAAGUGAAACGUCGUAGCGCCGAUGGUAGUGUGGGGUCUCCCCAUGCGAGAGUAGGGAACUGCCA
rnacentral:rRNA from 1 species